GACGAACGCUGGCGGCGUGCCUAACACAUGCAAGUCAACUUGACUGAAGGAGCAAUCUGACAGUAGAGUGGCGCAAGGGUGCGUAACGCGUAAGUAACUUGCCCAAGGUAAGGAAUAACGUCGAGAAAUCGGCGCUAAUACCUCAUAAUGCAGCGGAUCCGCAUGGAUAUGUUGUUAAAGGUUUACCGCCUUGGGAUAGGCUUGCGUCUGAUUAGCUAGUUGGUGUGGUAACGGCACACCAAGGCUACGAUCAGUAACUGGUCUGAGAGGAUGAUCAGUCACACUGGAACUGAGACACGGUCCAGACUCCUACGGGAGGCAGCAGUGAGGAAUAUUGGGCAAUGCUCGAAAGAGUGACCCAGCAACGCCGCGUGGAGGAUGAAGGUAUUCUAUAUCGUAAACUCCUGUGAAAGCAGACGAAAGACAGAUUAUUAAUCUGGAUGACUGUAUGCUCAGAGGGAG
rnacentral:rRNA from 1 species